UGAGGAAUAUUGGUCAAUGGGCGCUAGCCUGAACCAGCCAAGUAGCGUGAAGGAUGAAGGCUCUAUGGGUCGUAAACUUCUUUUAUAUAAGAAUAAAGUGCAGUAUGUAUACUGUUUUGUAUGUAUUAUAUGAAUAAGGAUCGGCUAACUCCGUGCCAGCAGCCGCGGUAAUACGGAGGAUCCGAGCGUUAUCCGGAUUUAUUGGGUUUAAAGGGAGCGUAGGUGGACUAGUAAGUCAGUUGUGAAAGUUUGCGGCUCAACCGUAAAAUUGCAGUUGAUACUGUCAGUCUUGAGUACAGUAGAGGUGGGCGGAAUUCGUGGUGUAGCGGUGAAAUGCUUAGAUAUCACGAAGAACUCCGAUUGCGAAGGCAGCUCACUGGACUGCAACUGACACUGAUGCUCGAAAGUGUGGGUAUCAAACAGG
rnacentral:rRNA from 1 species